rfam:Schistosoma margrebowiei strain Zambia genome assembly, scaffold: SMRZ_scaffold0000559
AUCUAGCUAACGAGUCGGAAAUAUGACGAAACUUGUGUCCUGGAU